UCUUUAACUCCGCCAAUGCAAAUGGUUUAUCAUUGCAUUGCCGGUCCCAAGCCCGGAUAAAGGAGGAGGGGAGA
rnacentral:ribozyme from 2 species